UUAAUAUUACUCUCAAAUUUGUUAUCAGAACCAACUCUAUCUUAAACCCAAUCUAUAUACCAAUUCCAGAUCUGAUACCACCAACCACCCAGUCUCACCCAUUCGCUUCCUUCGACGGUUCAUCUGAAAUCUCCAAACUACUCAUUUCUCUCUCCAAAGCCCCCGCCCCCCUCUUCUUCGAAAUCGCAACCAUCUUCUAUCCGGCGCCCACACAAGAACUCGUCACUGACGCAGAGCCCGCCGGAAGCUUUCUCUAGAGAACAACAUGUCGGUCGUCGUCCCCAUGGCCUCGCCCAGUCGCUGGCUCGACUUGGAUGACCAGCCAUUCCUCAAUUCCAGGAUUAGUGCAAGAGAAAGGGAUAUGUUGAUAACUAGGAGGCAAGCAUGCCUUCUCCAAGCAUGACCAAGCAUAGAACGAGCAGUGUGAAAAUUUUCGGGGUCGAAUUGUGCCCUGACAAUGUCGCUGUUGCCAUGGUAUUUUGUUCAAGGUGUCCUAGGCCUUGCAGGGCUUGCUGUCUGUUUUUAACUUUCCAUUUAAAAGACGAUUUGCAUCUCGACCUGGCUGAGGUACAUUUACAUUCACACUUUCUGUUAUUUUUUGGAACUGGUUUGCUUUACAUUUGUAGCUGUAGUUAUUAAAAGUGGCAUUCUUGAUGAAUUGUGAACUUAAAUUGACGUUUGUUUCCACUGAUUGGUAAAGAAUUUGCUUUGAGAAUGCUGAUUAGUAUGAAAAUGGUGCUAACCGGGGUACGAUAGUGGGAUUCUAGCUUUGAAUUACUGAUGUGAGACAUUGUUUUUCUUUGAUAAGUGAAUUGUUUGUAUAGUUUUGGUUUCUGACAAAUUUAUAUGUGAAGGAUCUCCCUCAAUUGGUCCCGCUCUCAUUUUCAAUUUUGAUGUCCUCGAACACUCAACGAUGCUAUCUUUGAACCUAUUUUUGUUUGUUUUCCUAAUUUUUUGGCAUUUUGUAGGCGAACUGCUAUUAUAGUGACUAAUAGAAGUAGAAAGAAGGAACAAGGGGUUGAAAUUUGGCUAAUUCUGCCAAUAUAGAUGUUUUGCAAGUGGCUGGGUUUUGCUAGUUUAAAGGUCUAAUGCUUCUUUUUCUUUUACUAUUGCUUUUGUUAAUUCAGGGUUAUUAAACAUAUUACAAUUUGCAAGUUACUCUUGAAUUAUUAAGCUUUCAUUUAAAAAUAAAUAAACCAAGGAAGGAAAAACAAUGAAUUGAGGUAUAUUUGAUAUGUAUGCUAUUUUGCACUACAGUGAAUCGUACAGAUCAAUUAAAUUCUAGGUGGCGAAUCUUCACCAUUGAUGAAAUUGUGAUUCUAUGUUUAACUUCUACAGGUGCGUCCUCUGUAUAUUUCUAUAAUUUCAAUUUCUGAAAUAUCUAUUGUUUAUUAGAUUUUACUUUCGAUAUGGUCACUAUUGUUUAUGGUUUAUAAAAAGAUAAAAUCUAUGUUUAUGGUAUUGGUUUGGUUAAUCUUGUAUAGUAUAUAUUUGCAGAAUUAUACGUAGUGGCUCUAUUUAGUAGGUUCAUAAUCUAAUCAUGUGUUUUAUCUUUUCUCAAGGACUCCUCUUAUUAUAAUUUUGUCAAGAGUUCAAUUGCAAAGGAAUGCAUGAGUAGAAAGGUUUAGAGGCAGAAACUCUAUUCACUUUUCUUGAUUGAGAUCAAAUGUAUAUUUCCACCUAUACGAGUACCAAGCUUUUUUUUCUUGUGAUCCAUAUGCUUUUGUCCAUGCAAAUAGAGAGUCAGCAAUUGUUGAGGCUCAA